UAAUAAUUAAUCGGUCGGGGGGAGACGGGGGAAGGAAUGCAAGGUGUCGGUUAAUGGUGUAAGUUUUAUCAGUGAGGCGCGCGCGCCGGCAGUGGAUCGACGCUGUCACGCAACCUUCAAAUUUCGAAUUACUUUCAACUAUUUACUGUUUACCUUAAUGAAAUGUAUACAGAUACAAAAUAAAACAAAAAACUAUAUAAUAUAAAAGUUAAUAAGCUUAAUCCGGAAGUUGUAAAUUGUUAAGACGCACAAUAUGUACAAUAUGUACAACCACGAAGAAGUCGAACCAAAAGAGAAAACGAACAGCAGCCUUUGCAGCAGCGCAUAGCUAGACCAAUCUGAGCCAUAAGCUACGGAGCCAUACCAUUAAGGAUCCGAAGGGGAGGCGGCAGGUUGUUCCAGCACUUCGUCGCUGCAUAGCGGAAACUACCACGAAAGGCUGCUGAUCGAUGAAGAGGCACGCUAAGCAUAUAAGACGACGCUCUCGUGGGAUAUGUUUUGUUACUUUCUUUUGCCCAACUCAACUUACUAUACAGAUAUAAAGGUGCUUUAUUUUGAAUAACACCAAAUAGGAGGGUAGCAAGAUGUAAUUGCCUUCGGUAUUCCAUCUUAAUCAUCCGUGCGGUAUUAAGGUAUGGGGAUACAUGUGCGCGAGGCGGGAUUUGGAAGCAGUACCUGAGAGAUGCAUUUUGUACUCUUUGUAUUAGGUUUUUUGAGCGAGCGUGCAGUCUAGGUCCUAUAACCGCAUCAGCAUAAUUAAGUUUAGACAAUACCAGGCUAUCACAAAGUUUAAUUCGCAUGUCUUUACUAAGAACGUCUCUUAUCCUAUACAAUACUUUUAAUCUGUAAAAACAAUUACGAACUGUAUUAAUGGUGUGUUUUUCGAAUCUCAAUUCCUCAUCAAUCAACAAACCCAAGUUUCGCACUUCUUUAACGCGCUCGAUAUUCUUACCUUUAAUUUGUAUGAUAGGGUUUAAGCUACCAAUUAGGUUGAUUUGUUUCUUCGUUCCUAAUAUGAUAUACUUAGUUUUGUCGGGAUUUAGUACGAGAUUAUGAGAUUCUGACCAUUGCGUAAUAUAACUCAAAUCAUCAUUCAAUUUUUGAAUAGCCACGCUAGCUUCAGAUGGCUUAAACGAGAUAUAAAUUUGUAUAUCAUCAGCGUAAAUGUGGUAUUUGCAGUGCUUAAUGCUGUUAACAAUGUCGGCACAAUAUAGCGCAAAGAUAAUUGGUCCUAGUAUAGAGCCUUGUGGAACGCCUGUAUUAACCGUGCUACAGUCUGAAAGCACCCGGGAACCGUUUCCAUUAACUACCUCAACCAUUUGUUCACGAUUACUCAAAUAACUUGCAAACCAUUUAAUUGUUAGAAAACUGAAUCCGUAAUAUUUUAGUUUGGACAAGAACAGAGCUCUAUCAAUGGUAUCAAAAGCACGAGAAAAAUCUAAUAAAACAAGAAUCGUUCCCUCGCCUACGUCCAUACCGCAUAGUACAUUAUCUGUAACAUCCAGUAGCGCAGUUGUAGUGCUGUGAUGUUUACGAAAUCCAGAUUGCAUAAGUGGUAAUACAUUGUUAUUCUCUAAGAAUCGUGUCAAUUGGUUACAUACGAUUCUUUCCAAUAUUUUGGAUAUGCAUGGUAAAAUGCUAAUAGGUCGUAGAUCCUUAAGUUCACAAACACUCUCCUUCUUGGGAAUGGGUUUAACUAUCGCGGUCUGCCAAAGAUUCGGAAAUGUGCCUGUUUCGAUUGAUGCAUUUAAGAUUUUAAUUAUAACUGGUAAAAUACGUGGUAACGACAAUAAAAGCAUGUCUAACGAUAUUCCGUCCACACCUAUGGCCUUAGACUUCAACGAGCGGAGUAUUUGUAAAAUUUCGACUUCGUUAGUCGGCAAUAAUGAAAAAACAGAUGUGCCAAACUUGUUACAUUCAUAAAAAUUCAUUGUUUCUAUUGAAACGUGAUCCCUACUACUUGGCACAUUAAGGAAGAAGUUAUUUAUCAUUGUUGGGUCAUUAAGAUGUUCUGGUAUAUUUUGGUCGUGUUUCUGUUUUAUAUGUAUAAUUUUAUUUAAGUGUUUCCAAAGUACAAUUGAGUUUUUAAUAUUGGAAUUAAUAUGAAAAUUAAAAUAUGCAGAUUUCUCCCUAUGUAUUGCCUGUACUACUUGUCGUUUUAGGUCUUUAUAGUAAUUUAAACGCAAAUCUGUUUUAGACAACCUUGCCUGAGUUUGAGCUUCAUCUCGACGUCUCAUAAACAAUUUAAUGUUAUAUGUAAUCCAAGGGUAGUGAGUCUCUUUGAUGGUAACCAUCUUAAUAGGGGCGAUAGCAUCAAAUACCCAUAGCAAGUAACCAGUGAACUGGCUUACCAUCUCAUUAAUGUCCUCAAUUUUGCAUAUGUCCUGCCAAUUAACUAAAUUAAGUGUAUCUGUGAGACAUUCUGUGUUAAUAUCUUUUAGCGGUCUGAACAUUAUGAUCUUUGAUGGACUUUUAUUUCUCUUAAUAUUUAUUUCACAAGAUACAAAUGCAUGGCCGCUAAGCUCUGCAAUAUGUUCUACUACAAUAUUGUCAACUCUUGUAUUAGAGCAAAUGAGAUCUAUUAAAGUUUCACUGUUAGUCGUAAAAUGUGUAGGAUUCGUAACAUGUUGUGUCAAACCGUGAGUCAAUAAAAAUGUGUCCAGGAUUUGUUUCUGAUAUUCAUGAGUUCUAAGAUAAUCGAUGUUGAAAUCUCCUAAUAAAUAUAAGCAAUCGUAAUAAGGCAGUGCACUUAUAGUUUCUGACAAUGCAUAAAAAAAAACAGAAGUAUUCAACCAGGGGGGGCGAUAAGCCGUUCCAACAACUAUAGUCUUGCCGUUCAAUUUUACGAGUAUCCACAUUUGUUCAACCAAAUGAACAACAGGAUGCACAAGUGUACGCGCAGAUAUACCACAUUUUAUAUAAAAGCCAACACCACCACCUCUUGAUCGUAUCUCCAUAGGUCGCGGUAUAUGACGUAAUCGAUAACCUGGGACAUGAGGUGCUCUGCCGUCUUCUCCCGGACGCAACCAAGUUUCAUUAAUGGCUAUCACAUCGGCUUCAUGACGCUCCAUUAAUACUAUGAAUUCCUCAUGAUGUGACCCAAGCGAGCCCGGGUUGAAUAAACCAAAUUUAAGAUUGCUCAUAUUAACCAUUUGAUAAUAUAUAUAGAUAAAUGAGAAUAAAUAAAAUGUAUUAUUACGAAUAUGAGUAAAAUAAUGAAUUUUAUAGUAUUAAUAAUUAGAGAGUAAUUAUACAGCACAACCCCCGCUUCAUACGCGUUAAUAAAAUGAUAAUUGUUAUAAAAAUAAAUAAAUAAAAUAAUACAUAGCUUAUCUAUAAUAUAUCUUAGUAUACAGAACAAGGCCACGACACUGUUGCUAUCAUUGUACAUACCACCACAUCUCCCAAAACUUAAUAUUAUUGUGAAAUGAUAAAAUUGAAAUAAAGUCUUGAAAACAUCAUUAAUUACAGAGACAUAAAAAAUACAAAUAAUCAUAAUAAAAUAAAAAAGUCGUUUACAAUACAUAAACAAUAAGUCUACCAAAAGAAAACAUAACAACGGAAUGUACGAACUUAAUUUUUGCCAAAAAUUUUGCAGAUAUCGUUUUCUGAACGUACCCGUUGAACUGCUGCAUCCGUCUCGCGCCGCAUGAAUAUUCUCCCGUCGCGACUCCAUAUGUAACGCCAACCAUGACGUUUUCCCUCUUCUCUGGCCUUAUAAAAGAGGAGGCGGUUAGCUCGUGUAAGAUGUUCGUUUAUAUAGACUCGGGAGGGGUUGCCGUCAAUGAUGCCAGACGUAUCAAUUCCGCGUCGCACCCGCGCCGACUUUAUUAAAUCGUCGCGCAAAGACCGCCGCGCAAAUCGCACCACGACAAGUCGCGGUCGUCGAUCUUCGUUUGGCGACAAUUGGUGUCGAAGUCCGACACGUUCGGCACUGACGAUGUCGCGAGGGUCGAGUGUCAUGCCCAGUUUCCUGAAGAUGGCUUGAGUUAGGUGCACCACAUUUUCACCCUUCUGUUCUGGAACUCCUGAUAUUUGAACGUCAUUCAGCAAUGUACUCUGUUCUCUAUCAUUAAUCUCUGCUUUCAAUGACGCUAUUGUUUCAUUAAUUUGUGAAUUACUACCCUCUUCAUUUAUUUUAAGGCAUUUUUCCUCUAAGGACGUCAUACGGUCUUCAACCUUGUCCACCCUUUUGUUGAACUCAGCCAUAUUUUCGUUUAGCCUUCCUAACUCCAGCCUGAAAGAAGUCAUCUCCCGCGUAACUGUGAUGAGCUCUAUUCUUAGCAGCCUGAUUUCCUCGGCCAAUGAUCCUGCAGAGCUUUUAUCUACCGCAUUGGCGUCUAUAAAUAGCUCUUCAGUAGGCGAUUCAGCAGAAGGCUUGUUUUUGGUAUCAAGUCCACGGCAGAGACGACACAUCCACCGCGCAGGGAGGCGAGAGUCGGGGCUUAUAUUGACACACGAACGAUGGAAUACCGAACUGCAUUUAUUGCAUUUAGCGCCAUCUGUUGUUGAGAGGAACUUGCCGCAUUGAUUACAUUUGUUAGCCAUUAUUUAAAUAUAUCGUAGUACUUUGAAUAUCCGAUAGAUGGCACAAUGAGAUGAGUAACAAUUGUUAAUCAAUUAAGUGGUAUUAAUUUAAUAAGAUUCAAUUAAAGUGUAUGAGUGAUGUGAAUAUAUACGAAUAAUGCACGAAUCGUUAGAUGUAUAAGUUGUGUUUUUGGCUUUGUUUGUUUGUUUUUUCUUUUUUGUGGGGGUACCUGCGCAUUCGCUAUUUGAACAGCUGAUUGUUGUAUCCGUUAAGAGACACUUAAGAGACACUUAUAUCACAAGCUAUACACUUGUAUCAGUCUUAUAAUAUUUCACUCACUUUGUCAAACUCACGUAAAUGUUUAAAUAAACUUUUUAGAACAAUA